ensembl:lncRNA
UUUCCCUUAUGGAUCCCCUUUGCCACCUUCAUGGAGUGGAUACUGGCGAGAAAUGGAUCUCCGUUCAUCUCACCGGAUCCACUCCAGAUUCAGUGCCCAGCUAACCAUCUCCCUGCGGUGCGGAGCAUCAGCUCGAGCCCACUGAUGACAAAGAGCCAAUUCCAGCUGUGAUCGACGAGCCAGCACAAAGCUGAGUGACUGAGCGGAGGAUCGUCCUGGACGUGGAGCUCAACCCGUCAGACCAGGUGCGAGAGCUGGCGACCACGUCCAACGUGAGGGAGCAAGCCGUAGACGGUGAGUGUGCAAAGUGGAGCUCCACCCACUGCACCGUCUACAGCUUGCUCCCUGAGGAUGGGCUGAUUAUACACCUGGGACUGCUGGACUUAGAAGGGGACUUAAUAGAAUGGGAAACUGAGCUGGAAGUCGACUUGCCCCCUCUCCUUUCUCCUUGGUCCCCGCUGGUACUGUCCAUCCUUAAGGGGGCUCCUGUUUCCCAGUCCAACCAGGAGUGGGCUCUGAUCCCGAGGGCAGCCCUGAGAGCCCGGAGGCUCACGAAUGCCCGCCCACCCGCCCGCUCUUGCCUCCUCUACAGUCUGUCAUCUGCCAGCCCCUCUGCUUGCCCUCAGCCCACCAUCAAUACCAUGCGAGUGCCGCAGGUCUGCCAUCCUCCAUCGUCGCUGUGGCUGGAGCAUCCCUCUCCUCUGCCCUCCAGCCUCCGAGACCCGGACUCCACCUCGGACAAUAGACCCAGUGGCUCCAUCUUGGCUCCCAGCUCCCUCGCCUCCACCAUCACCCGUCAAACCCCUUAUCCACCGGGUUCCCUCGUCCCUCCGGCUCCAUCUCGGUCUGGUGUCGACCAUUCUGCACCUCUGGAUCUCCACCUCCGCCUUGGUCGCCAGAGCCCUCAGCUCCACCCUGGCCCCCCGGAUCCUUGUCAUUCCCCUGGAUCGUUGGCUCUCUCGGUCUCCGUUUCCACUCCUUCACCACCUGCUCUGCCGCCAUUGGUCAGCCCCCUGCAUUCGGCAGCCAUUCCUCCUCCCUGGCUCCUCCCUCCAUUGUCUCCUCCCUGGACUCUGUCUGCUGGCCACCCUCCGGGGUGUCCGUCCUCCUCCGGAGCUGCCUCCUUAGUCCCCACUUAUUUCGAUAUGUCAGGAUUAUGGACCUGUUUUGUUGUGUUUUGCCCCUGUCUUUGUUCCUGGUUUUCCUUAAAUGGUCUGUUUCCUGUCCUCAUUUAGUUUAAUUAUGAUUUCUGGCACCUGUGUUAUUACACCUGUUAAUUAUCCCCAGUAUUUCAGUCCUUGCUUUUGCGUUCUGUGUUUGUCUGUUCUACUUGUUAUGUUUGAGUGUUUACUGCCAUCUCCUGUGUGGAUGUACCCUGUGUUUUGUGGAUUAAAGACUAUUUUCGUUUACUUGUGCCUCCUGUGUGCUUCCUAAAUUGCAAACUGUGACAGUGGUAUUUACAAAAGUUAAUUGUAAUGUGAAGUUAUUUCAGACAGCCAGAGAAGCUGGCCUUCUGAGAAAGGAGAG